rnacentral:rRNA from 1 species
ACUCUUGCAUCUCACGUGGUACGAUGCUGCGUUUCCUUACGUGGCGCGGAACGCGUGACUUUUACUUUGAGGAAAUUAGAGUGUUCACGGCAAGCAAUCGCUUUGAAAAUGUUAGCAUGGAGUAAUAAUAUAGGACCUUGGUACUAUUUUGUUGGUUUCUAGAACUAACGUAAUGAUUAAUAGGGACAAUUGGGGGCAUU